GACAAACAGAUCGAGUUAAGUUGUUUCGGUAAAAAAGGAAGUUAGAAAAUUUAUAUUAAUUGACAGUGAUUUAGAGAAUUGAAUUUUCCUUAUAGAGGUGGAAUUUGUGUAAGGAAAGGUGGAGUAGGGAUUUUCUAUAUUUUGAUGCUCCGAAAAUAAGUAAAGAGACCGGGAUUAGAUACCCCGUUAUUCUUACUAUAAAUUUUGGUUGUGUCUACCUGAGUAAUACGGGCCGAGUUUGGUUUGUUAGCAUAAGUUGUAUGCUGUAAACUUUCUCUUUUGCUUAAAACUCAAAAAACUUGGCGGUGCCUUAUUUCUUUCCAGGGGAACCUGUCCUGUAAUCGAUAGUCCACGAUUUAACUUACUUUUUUUUGAAUAUAGUUUUAUGAAAUACUAUAUCAGCUUGUAUACCGUCGUCGUCAGAUUACCUUUAAGAGAGUAGAAGUUGUCGGUAGAAUUGGGUUUAAGGUUGUGUGGAAUUUAAUUGUUGAUUUAGUCCUUACAAGCUUAGGUAUGUUUUGAUGUCAGAUCAAGGUGCAGUUUAUGAGAAAGAAGAGAUGGGUUACAGUAUAGAUUUAAUUUGGAUGCUAGAAUGUAAAGGUUAGAUGAAAUUGGACUUGGAAGUAAUGUGUGGAUAAUUGAAAUUAAUUAGUUAGUAUAUGUGAAUGUUGUACUGA
rnacentral:rRNA from 1 species